rnacentral:rRNA from 1 species
ACGGGUGAGUAAUGUAUCGGAACGUGCCUAGUAGCGGGGGAUAACUACGCGAAAGCGUAGCUAAUACCGCAUACGCCCUACGGGGGAAAGCAGGGGAUCGCAAGACCUUGCACUAUUAGAGCGGCCGAUAUCGGAUUAGCUAGUUGGUGGGGUAAUGGCUCACCAAGGCGACGAUCCGUAGCUGGUUUGAGAGGACGACCAGCCACACUGGGACUGAGACACGGCCCAGACUCCUACGGGAGGCAGCAGUGGGGAAUUUUGGACAAUGGGGGAAACCCUGAUCCAGCCAUCCCGCGUGUGCGAUGAAGGCCUUCGGGUUGUAAAGCACUUUUGGCAGGAAAGAAACGUCAUGGGCUAAUACCCCGUGAAACUGACGGUACCUGCAGAAUAAGCACCGGCUAACUACGUGCCAGCAGCCGCGGUAAUACGUAGGGUGCAAGCGUUAAUCGGAAUUACUGGGCGUAAAGCGUGCGCAGGCGGUUCGGAAAGAAAGAUGUGAAAUCCCAGAGCUUAACUUUGGAACUGCAUUUUUAACUACCGGGCUAGAGUGUGUCAGAGGGAGGUGGAAUUCCGCGU